GACGAACGCUGGCGGCGUGCUUAACACAUGCAAGUCGAGCGGAAAGGCCCCCUGUGGGUACCCGAGCGGCGAACGGGUGAGUAACACGUGAGUAAUCUGCCCUGUGCUCUGGGAUAGCCACCGGAAACGGUGAUUAAUACCGGAUACAACCACUAUCCGCAUGGGUUGGUGGUGGAAAGUUUUUCGGCACAGGAUGUGCUCGCGGCCUAUCAGCUUGUUGGUGAGGUAAUGGCUCACCAAGGCUUUGACGGGUAGCCGGCCUGAGAGGGUGACCGGUCACACUGGGACUGAGACACGGCCCAGACUCCUACGGGAGGCAGCAGUGGGGAAUAUUGGACAAUGGGCGGAGGCCUGAUCCAGCAACGCCGCGUGAGGGAUGACGGCCUUCGGGUUGUAAACCUCUUUCAGUACCGACGAAGCGCAAGUGACGGUAGGUACAGAAGAAGGACCGGCCAACUACGUGCCAGCCGCCGCAGUAACAC
rnacentral:rRNA from 1 species